UACGUAGGGUGCAAGCGUUGUCCGGAAUUAUUGGGCGUAAAGAGCUCGUAGGCGGUUUUGUCGCGUCUGCUGUGAAAACCCGAGGCUCAACCUCGGGCCUGCAGUGGGUACGGGGCAGACUAGAGUGCGGUAGGGGGAGAUUGGAAUUCCUGGUGUAGCGGUGGAAUGCGCAGAUAUCAGGAGGAACACCUGUGGCGAAGGCGGCCCCCUGGUUGGAUACUGACGCUGAUACGCGAAAGCGUGGGGAGCAAACAGGG
rnacentral:rRNA from 1 species